GACGAACGCUGGCGGCGUGCUUAACACAUGCAAGUCGAACGGAAACGCCCCGUCUGUUUGGGGUGCUCGAGUGGCGAACGGGUGAGUAACACGUGAGUAACCUGCCCUUGACUUUGGGAUAGCUUCAGGUAACUUGGGCUAAUACCCGAUAGGAGCUCCAGCUGCAUGGUGGGGGUUGGAUAGUUGCGGCGGUUGGGGGUGGACUCGGGGCUUAUCAGCUUGUUGGUGGGGUAGUCGCUUACCAAGGCUUGGACGGGUAGCCGGCCUGUGAGGGUGGACAGCGACAAUGGGACUGAGAGACGGAGCAGACGGCUACGGUAGGCAGCAGUGGGGAAUAUUGCACAAUGAGCGGGAGCCUGAUACGACGGCGCCGCGUGCGGGAAGAGGGCCUUCGCGUUGUGAACCGCUUUCGCCUGUGACGGAGCGUGAGUGACGGUAAUGUAUGAAGAAGCACCGGCUAACUACGUG
rnacentral:rRNA from 1 species